GACGAACGCUGGCGGCGCGCUUAACACAUGCAAGUCGAACGGAAAGGCCUGCUUUCCCUUGUGGAUUGCGGGUACUCGAGUGGCGAACGGGUGAGUAACACGUGAGUGAUCUGCCCCCAACUUGGGUAUAAGCCUGGGAAACUGGGUCUAAUUCCCGAUAGGACUGCAGGGUGGUGCCUGUGGUGGAAAACGAUUUUCUAGUGGUUGGGGAUGAGCUCGCGGCCUAUCAGCUUGUUGGUGGGGUAAUGGCCUACCAAGGCGGCGACGGGUAGCCGGCCUGAGAGGGUGGACGGCCACAUUGGGACUGAGAUACGGCCCAGACUCCUACGGGAGGCAGCAGUGGGGAAUAUUGCACAAUGGGCGGAAGCCUGAUGCAGCGACGCCGCGUGGGGGAUGACGGCCUUCGGGUUGUAAACUCCUCUCGACCGCGAGGAAGCCACCUGGUUGGAAGGGUGGUGACGGUAGUGGUAGAAGAAGCACCGGCUAACUACGUG
rnacentral:rRNA from 1 species